GCUUAACGCGAAGAACCUUACCUGGGUUUGAAAUGUAGUGGAAGUCUCGCAGAAAUGUGGACGCCUUCGGGCCGCAACACAGGUGCUGCAUGGCUGCCGUCAGCUCGUGUCGUGAGAUGUUGGGUUAAGUCCCGCAACGAGCGCAACCCUUAUGUUUAGUUGCCAGCAUUUAGUUGGGCACUCUAGACAGACUGCCGACGUUAAGUCGGAGGAAGGUGGGGAUGACGUCAAGUCCUCAUGGCCCUUAUAUCCAGGGCGACACACGUGCUACAAUGGUAGGUACAGAGGGAAGCAAACCCGCAAGGUCAAGCAAAUCCCAAAAAACCUAUCUAAGUUCGGAUUGGAGUCUGCAACUCGACUCCAUGAAGCUGGAAUCGCUAGUAAUCGCGGAUCAGAACGCCGCGGUGAAUACGUUCCCGGGUCUUGUACACACCG
rnacentral:rRNA from 1 species